rnacentral:ncRNA from 2 species
AAAAUAAUGUUCUCUUUCCAUCGUAUAAUUUGGGGAAUAUGGCCCAAAAGUUUCUACCGAGCUACCGUAAAUGGCUUGACUACGAGGUGCAACAAAACAAGG